GCGUCGGCACAGUGUGUGAUACAACAGUGCUUUGAAAACUGCGUCGGAGCCUCGGUACCAUCCGUCCCAUCACUAGAUAACGGUAAAUCAGCGUCUUUUCCGUUGUGUCUACUGCAGGAUGGAUAUAAAAGUAUAAAAUACGUUUUGGUUUGACAACAUCAUUCAUAUGUGAACUAUCACAAAGAAAUAACAAGUGUGAGAAAAGAGAAGUUCAUCAGGCGAGUUGGAGCGUUGGCUUUGUCGAGUCAUACAGUUUAGCGGAGAGCGUCAACCCCUGAUUGACAUGAGGAAAAAAAUCAUUGAGAAGUGUUCAGUGUACAGUGUACCCCUCUUUGUAACAGAGGAAGCAUUAGGACAGAGGAGAAGAGGGAAAGCGAAAAGGCACUCAACAGAUGUCGGAGCUAAGACCUGUGGGAGUGCUGGAGAAAUCAAGUGUACCAAGUACUCUGUCUCCUCAGCCAUGCAAGAGAUCUUCAGACAUGACGAGAUUGAGGAGUUAAAUGAAAUCAAAGAGCUAAAAGAAGAUCUACAAUAUUAGUGCCAAUUCAGUAUGAAAACAGAGAGAGAGAGCUGAGGGAGUGGAAAGAAAUGCAUGAUAUUGUGCAAGGGGUAGUUGCAUGGACUGUCAGUGGAGCAACAGAAAGCUCUGAGAUUUUUAUUAUAAAGAUCUUCAUUUGUGUUCUGAAGAUGAACUAAAGACUUGCGGGUUCGGAACGACAUGAGGGUGAGUAAUUGAUGACAGAAUUUUCAGUUUUGGGUGAACCAACCUUUUAACUUCUUUUACCUGGAUUGUUCAAAGACAUUGAGUACGUUUACAUGGACAACAAUAUUCCGAUUUUAACAUGAUUAAGACAAUACUCUGAUUAAGAAUCUACCAUGUAAACAGAGAUUUUUGAUUACCGUAAUCCGGCUAAAGUCAUAAUCGAAGUAAACACAAAUUAACACGAAUGAAGACAUGUGGAGUAUUCCUAUUUUAGUUGCAUUACUGAAGUGCAGUAUAGACAUGUACACACCUUAAUCACAUUAUUACCGUCAUGUAGGACUUUUCGCCGCAUUUUGUGACAGGAUACACACACGGCAGUGCUCAACCGUUUGAUGGCAAAUAAGAGCCUCAACACCCGCCGUCGUCUGUAUGCACGCACAAAUAAUUAACUGUACUUGAAGCUUUCAUAAAAUUAAAAAUGAAACACCCAAAACUGUACAUGGCAUCAUCACGAAGACAAACUAUAUGUUUAUACGUGAAAUUCGAACUAUGUUAAACGGG
rnacentral:lncRNA from 1 species